UACGGAGGAUCCGAGCGUUAUCCGGAUUUACUGGGUUUAAAGGGUGCGUAGGCGGGUAGGUAAGUCAGGGGUGAAAUCUUCGAGCUUAACUCGGAAACUGCCUUUGAUACUAUCUAUCUUGAAUAUUGUGGAGGUAAGCGGAAUAUGUCAUGUAGCGGUGAAAUGCUUAGAUAUGACAUAGAACACCUAUUGCGAAGGCAGCUUACUACGCAUAUAUUGACGCUGAGGCACGAAAGCGUGGGGAUCAAACAGG
rnacentral:rRNA from 1 species